rnacentral:rRNA from 1 species
UGCGCAGGCGGGGAUGUAAGUCAGUGGUGAAAUACUGUCGCUCAACGGUAGAACUGCCAUUGAUACUGCAUCUCUUGAGUAUGGUUGAGGUAGGCGGAAUGUGUUGUGUAGCGGUGAAAUGCAUAGAUAUGACACAGAACGCCAAUUGCGAAGGCAGCUUACUAAACCAUUACUGACGCUGAGGCACGAAAGCGUGGGGAGCGAACAGGAUUAGAUACCCUGGUAGUCC